rnacentral:rRNA from 1 species
UACGGGGGGGGCAAGCGUUGUUCGGAAUUACUGGGCGUAAAGAGCUCGUAGGCGGUUUGUCGCGUCUGCCGUGAAAGUCCGGGGCUCAACUCCGGAUCUGCGGUGGGUACGGGCAGACUAGAGUGAUGUAGGGGAGACUGGAAUUCCUGGUGUAGCGGUGAAAUGCGCAGAUAUCAGGAGGAACACCGGUGGCGAAGGCGGGUCUCUGGGCCGAUACUGACGCUGAGGAGCGAAAGCGUGGGGAGCGAACAGG